UAGUCAUAUGCUUGUCUUAAAGAUUAAGCCAUGCAUGUGUCAGUUUAAAUAGUAUACAGUGAAACUGCGAAUGGCUCAUUAAAACAGUUAUAGUUUAUUUGAUAUUUAUUUUUACAUGGAUAACUGUGGCAAUUCUAGAGCUAAUACAUGCGUUAAGACCUUAAGGUUGUAUUUAUUAGAUAUCAAGCCAAUUCAUAUUGAUGAUUCAUAAUAACUGAUCGAAUCGAGGGACUCCUCGAUAAAUCAUUCAAGUUUCUGCCCUACCAGCUUGAUGGUAGUGCAUUGGACUACCAUGGCAGUCACGGGUAACGGAGAAUUAGGGUUCGGUUCCGGAGAGGGAGCCUGAGAAACGGCUACCACAUCUAAGGAAGGCAGCAGGCGCGUAAAUUACCCAAUCCCGAUUCGGGGAGGUAGUGACAAGAAAUAACAACUCGGGAACUCACGUUCUACGAGAUUGCAAUGAGGACAAUUUAAAUCACUUAGCGAGGAACAAUU
rnacentral:rRNA from 1 species